GAUGAACGCUGGCGGCGUGCCUAAUACAUGCAAGUCGAGCGAACAGACGAGGAGCUUGCUCCUCUGACGUUAGCGGCGGACGGGUGAGUAACACGUGGAUAACCUACCUAUAAGACUGGGAUAACUUCGGGAAACCGGAGCUAAUACCGGAUAAUAUAUUGAACCGCAUGGUUCAAUAGUGAAAGACGGUUUUGCUGUCACUUAUAGAUGGAUCCGCGCCGCAUUAGCUGGUUGGUAAGGUAACGGCUUACCAAGGCAACGAUGCGUAGCCGACCUGAGAGCGUGAUCGGCCACACUGGAACUGAGACACGGUACAGACUCCUACGGGAGGCAGCAGUAGGGAAUCUUGCGCAAUGGGCGAAAGCCUGACGGAGCAACGCCGCGUGAGUGAUGAAGGUCUGCGGAUCGUAAAACUCUGUUAUUAGGGAAGAACAAAUGUGUAAGUAACUAUGCACGUCUUGACGGUACCUAAUCAGAAAGCCACGGCUAACUACGUG
rnacentral:rRNA from 1 species